GAUGAAGAACGUAGCGAAAUGCGAUAAGUAAUGUGAAUUGCAGAAUUCAGUGAAUCAUCGAAUCUUUGAACGCAUAUUGCGCCCCUUGGUUAUUCCGGGAGGCACACCUGUUCGAGCGUCAUUACAACACUCAAGCACCGCUUGGUAUUGGGCGCCGCCGCCCCGGCGGGCCCUAAAGUCAGUGGCGGUGCCGUCCGGCUCCGAGCGUAGUAAUUCUUCUCGCUCUGGAGGUCCGGUCGUGUGCUCGCCAGCAACCCCCAAUUUUUUUCAGGUUGACCUCGGAUCAGGUAGGGAUACCCGCUGAACUUAAGCAUAUCAAUAAGCGGAGGA
rnacentral:misc_RNA from 1 species